GGUUGCCUGCGGCGUUCGACAACGGGCAGAUAGCAUUCUUGACCCUACAAUCAAACGCCUCAGGGGAGACGUUGGUAGUGCCACUGGUGUGCAUGUCCGCCUCGAGCGGAAAGCCUAAGGUGUCACUCGCCCUCCCCGACCUGAACCGAAGGGUUCAAGGGCGGUGUCCGUACGGCGUCGCGGGUAACCG
rnacentral:other from 1 species